rnacentral:rRNA from 1 species
CAGCAGCCACGGGAAUACGAAGGGGGCUAGCGUUGCUCGGAUUUACUGGGCGUAAAGCGCACGUAGGCGGAUCGAUCAGUCAGGGGUGAAAUCCCAGAGCUCAACUCUGGAACUGCCUUUGAUACUGUCGAUCUGGAGUAUGGAAGAGGUGAGUGGAAUUCCGAGUGUAGAGGUGAAAUUCGUAGAUAUUCGGAGGAACACCAGUGGCGAAGGCGGCUCACUGGUCCAUUACUGACGCUGAGGUGCGAAAGCGUGGGGAGCAAACAGGAUUAGAUACCCCUGUAGUCCCUGUCUCUUAUAC